GUUCUCUCUCUGCCCUUCUCCCACUCUCACUCACAUGCUCCUUCUCUCAAAAUAAAUAAACUUUAAAAAAAAGUCUACAGAAAUAUGAAUUGAAAUUAUAAAUUAUUUAAUAUCAACUUGAAAACGGUUUCAGCUUAAGGUUUAGAGAUGGGAAGGGACCUUUCUAAAAGCCAGCUUUUCCAACUCCAUUUGCCAGAUGGCUUGUAAAUGGCUCAAAAUACAUAACUGCAAAAUAUUCUAACAUACCAGUCAAAACCUAAUUCCCUUCACUUCAGUAGUUUGUCUUUGGUUCAAGCAAAUGCAUGGGUUCCAAAUACUCUUUAAUUUGGGCAAAAGACACGAUUUAUAAUGUAAAAAACCUAAAAAUCAUAUUAAUGAGUUUAUGAGUCAGAGAACCAUUUUGUCCCACCCUCACUUCCUGGUGAUUGGUUUUCUCUAGUAAUAGUGUUGAUGUAAACCAUGAUUACAGAUAGCCAAUGGAACAGUGAACUAUGGGUACUUUAAACAUACCUAUAAUAUUAACUCAGGAGCAUCAGCUAGUUUUUAUCUUCUUUCUGCUGACAUGUCUUGAAAUUAGAAGUAGGAGAAGAUACACAAUGAUUUUCAAAUGCUGUUUAAAAUUUGCCCUGGUUAUGUUUUACAACUGGUAUCAACCAUGUCCACUUUCAAUUUAGGUUGCUAAUUUUUUUUUUAAUUCUAUUUUUAGUAGAAUAAGAGGAAGGACAAAUGGGAACUAAUGAGAAACUACAACAAAUGAAUUUCUGUCUCCAGAGAGAUUCACUAAAUCUUGUGCUCAGGGUUCUCCAAAGAGAAGCUGCAGAGUCACCCAGAGGUCACUGAGACAUGAGAUUGAGAUUGAAACAUCCUGUCUCCAAAACUCAAGUUGGAUGAAUAAUUAACUCAUGCAAUAUGCUAAGUGGUUGGGAUGCAGAAACAAAUACAGCACAGCACUUCUUUCUCAGAAAGAAGUUGUUUGGAGAGUUGUUUGCUGUUGUUUGGAGAGAUAGCUGGAGAGAAUAGUCUAUCCUCCACGUAAAAGAAUCAACACUUGAAAAUGCUCAUCUCAUUAUAACUAACACACACAUACAGGUCUGUAUAGCUGUGUUUAAUUUUUGUUUUAUACUAAUGAGAUCAUACCAUACAUAUGAACCAACAAAUUGUUUUUCAUUAGAUAAUGUAUCAGAAAUAUCUUUAUAAAUAAGUACAUAUAGGGGCAUCUGGGUGGCUCAGUCAGUUGAGCAUCUGACUUCGGCUUAGGUCAAGAUCUCACAGCUUGUGAGUUCGAGCCCCACAUU